CUUGCUAAAUGGGAAGUCCUUGACAGUGGUGGGCUUGUUUAAGGCAAUGUGACAGGGCUGCCCAAACUUCUCAUUUAGUGUGGCCAUUUUGUCUGAGUAAGGUAUUGGUGACUUCCACAUGUUCUCCUCAGAUCGGAAUGACGCCAUAAGAAUCAAAGGUGGUUCUUGGCCAUGAAAAGUUUAAGGCCCACAAUGUAAUGUUUUACUCUUGAAAGUAAAAUGUGUUAAUAACUGAUACCAACUUUGCUAGUUUGUUGUCCACCACUUGAUAUUCACUGUAGUGUGUGUGUUUCAGGAUGGAGUCAAACCAGUCAUGGCAUUCUCAAAGGGACUUUAGUAUUCAGCUAGAAAAAGACGAGGAAAAGUAUGAAAGUCUUGUUCUUCACCCAAGCCGACACAAGGGGAGUGGGGUUCAGUUGUGCCAGCGUUGGCUUAAAGGAAGGAGCAUACACUGCUGUUCCAAACUACUGCCAUCCCGGGGGAAGUCACGCUACAUAUUCAUGGGCUACCUUCUUAUGCUUCAUGUGCUGGUUUUCGUGUGCCUCAGUUGGUCCCUUUAGAAAACAAUUAUCAUCAAAAUCACAUAUGCGCAAAUAGAAGAUCUGCAAAAAUAAAAUAAAAAAUGGUGUGGACGGUGUAAGAUAAAGACCCACAGUCAAGGCGCUUCCUCUUACUGUGAUGCAUUAAAUAAUGUAGGAGCUUCCCUUUUGUUGCUCACUCAAAUGGGGUAAAGCAGAAUGGUGAAACUUUUCUGAGACGUCAACUUGAUCUGAAAUGUACAUUCAGUCAUACUGGUUUCCAUAUAGACUUUAACACCAGCAUUUAUAAUAGAGAGACCUUGUGUUAUUGGCAGGUACACCAUUGACCAUUAGAAUGUAGAUUAUCUGAUGUAGUUGCUAUGCACUGAAAUCUUAAGUUUAGUUAAGCAAUUGUCUUUGAUGAAUGUCUCGUUUGUCUGCACUGGAAAUUAACAUGAGAAUGAAAAAAUAAUUUAAUUGUAUGUGUACAGAGAGAAUAUUGAAUUAAAGUGCUAAUUUUAGAAGUUAUCAACAAGCAAUCUAAAAUUGUGAGAAGCUUUUCGAUGAAUCUGAUUACAAUGCAGAAACACUGGAAUUAAAUCUUGUUUUGGAAUUAAAAUUGUGGUUUUAGAAUUAAAACAAAUGCUGGUUUAUUCUGAGGGUUAAUGGUUUCAGUGGAAUUUAUUUAUAUAGUAUGAAACUCGCAGAAAUGUUUGCUUGCAGAGCCAUAAAGUUCUAUUAUUGUGAAAAGUAGUUACACUACCUGUUGUGCAACACUGUAUAUUUGUAUAUGGGGUGUGAUAUAAGAAAAAGAGCGAAUCUUUGGUGAAUUAAACUACUGUGACCUAC